GACGAACGCUGGCGGCGUGCUUAACACAUGCAAGUCGAACGGAAAGGCCCUGCUUUUGUGGGGUGCUCGAGUGGCGAACGGGUGAGUAACACGUGAGUAACCUGCCCUUGACUUUGGGAUAACUUCAGGAAACUGGGGCUAAUACCGGAUAGGAGCUCCUGCUGCAUGGUGGGGGUUGGAAAGUUUCGGCGGUUGGGGAUGGACUCGCGGCUUAUCAGCUUGUUGGUGGGGUAGUGGCUUACCAAGGCUUUGACGGGUAGCCGGCCUGGGAGGGUGACCGGCCACAGUGGGAUUGAGAAAGGGCCCGGACUCAUAAGGGAGGAAGGAGUGGGGAAUAGUGCAAAAUGGGCGGAAGCCUGAUGCAGCAACGCCGCGUGGGGGAGGACGGCCUUCGGGUUGUAAAACGAUUUCGCCUGUGACGAAGCGUGAGUGACGGUAAUGGGUAAAGAAGCACCGGCUAACUACGU
rnacentral:rRNA from 1 species